rnacentral:rRNA from 1 species
AUUGAACGCUGGCGGCAGGCUUAACACAUGCAAGUCGAGCGGGGGAAGGUAGCUUGCUACCGGACCUAGCGGCGGACGGGUGAGUAAUGCUUAGGAAUCUGCCUAUUAGUGGGGGACAACAUCUCGAAAGGGAUGCUAAUACCGCAUACGUCCUACGGGAGAAAGCAGGGGAUCUGCGGCCCUUGCGCUAAUAGAUGAGCCUAAGUCGGAUUAGCUAGUUGGUGGGGUAAAGGCCUACCAAGGCGACGAACGGUAGCGGGUCUGAGAGGAUGAUCCGCCACACUGGGACUGAGACACGGCCCAGACUCCUACGGGAGGCAGCAGUGGGGAGUAUUGGACAAUGGGGGGAACCCUGAUCCAGCCAUGCCGCGUGUGUGAAGAGGGCCUUAUGGUUGUAAAGCACUUUAAGCGAGGAGGAGGCUACUCUAGUUAAUACCUAGGGAUAGUGGACGUUACUCGCAGAAUAAGCACCGGCUAACUCUGUGCCAGCCGCCGCUGUAA